rnacentral:rRNA from 1 species
UACGUAGGGUGCGAGCGUUAAUCGGAAUUACUGGGCGUAAAGCGUGCGCAGGCGGUUUUGUAAGCCAGAUGUGAAAGCCGGGGCUUAACCUGGGAAUGGCAUUUGGGACUGCAAGGCUUGAGUGCGGCAGAGGAGACUGGAAUUCCUGGUGUAGCAGUGAAAUGCGCAGAUAUCAGGAGGAACACCGGUGGCGAAGGCGGGUCUCUGGGCCGAUACUGACGCUGAGGAGCGAAAGCUAGGGGAGCAAACGGG